UACAAGAUGGCGGCACGCGGCCGACUUCAACUUCCGGUCGACUUCCUUCCCCCCUGGUUCUACUUUCACUUUCAUUUUAGCGUGAUUUUGGGUGGAGUGUGUCAAUUAACGGCGGAAGGGAGUUGUAUUUAAAGGGAGCGUAUCGUACCUGAAAGAGAGGCGUCAUUCGUUUGUUUGCACAUGAGGGUUGCCCGUAUGAGAGAUGGUUUACGGUGGAAAGACGGCUGCGUGUCAAUCCGCUGUUCCAUGGUUAUGAUGUCUGGUGCGUGACUGAAGCAUUGCACUUCCAGACCAACUUUCAUGAGCAGUCCUGAAGACAAGGCAAAAACCGCUUAUCCACCUAUCUUGGUGUCUGGUGACCCGCGAUACUCAUUGGUGCCUUCAAUACCUGCAAACGUGCGUGACGCGGUCGGUUUCUGGCACGGAUUUUGAAGACCAGAGACCGCUAGUGGGAACGUGUGGUCAUUGCUUAUUUUGUUUUAUUUGAUUUAUUUGUUUGUUGUCCAUUUCGGUUUUCUGUGUUAUUAUGAUUGUGAACAUAUGGCAGAAUAAAUAUCCUGAUGACCUUUA